rnacentral:sRNA from 1 species
ACAUGGGAUCUAAGACAGGAGGAGGUUUCAAGAAACUGCGCAGAUCUGAAGCAGCAGCACCCCAGGCCACGCAAGCAGCACACACCGGGGCCCUCUGGCAGCUGCUGUGUUUAAUGAACGAGGAGGAGGUGGUGUGGCUUGGUGAGGGACACCAGGAGGAAAUGAGAUCGAAGGGUUGGAGCAUGGGUCUGUGGACCAUGGGAACCCUGGAAGCACUCGGAAGGACGGGGCCUGGUGGAGGAGGACUGGGAAAGCCGGGAAGCCGGGUCAAGGUGUGGGGUGUAGAGGCGCCCUCAGAUGUCCACACGGUCCAUUGGCCUCCGGGGUCCUCUGUUCCUGCUCUCCCUCAAGCCAUGGGAGCUUGGCAAUGGCAAGCCUGCACGAGCUGUGUGCUGCCAGAGUGUCAGAGGUCCU